rnacentral:pre_miRNA from 1 species
GAUUUCAAUUGAAAAAGUCAUCAACAACAAAAUUGUAUAACUCAUCAAGAUCUAUAACUUAUAUUUUGGUCAUUUCUUCAUCCGAUAAAGUGAUUUGUAACAUUAUUCACAAAAUGUACACUUUAUCGGAUGAAGAAAUGAUCAAAAUAGAAGUUAUAGAUCUUGAUGAGUUAUACAACUUUAUUAUUGAUGACUUUUUCAGCUGAAAUC